CGCGGCCUAUCAGCUUGUUGGUAGGGUAAUGGCCUACCAAGGCUACGAUGGGUAGCUGGUCUGAGAGGAUGAUCAGCCACACUGGAACUGAGACACGGUCCAGACUCCUACGGGAGGCAGCAGUGGGGAAUUUUGCGCAAUGGGGGAAACCCUGACGCAGCAAUGCCGCGUGAGUGAUGAAGGUUUUCGGAUCGUAAAGCUCUGUCAGAGGGGAAGAAACUCUCGUCGUUUAAUCGCGCCGAGAUUGACGGUACCCUCAAAGGAAGCACCGGCUAACUCCGUGCCAGCAGCCGCGGUAAUACGGAGGGUGCGAGCGUUGUUCGGAAUUAUUGGGCGUAAAGUGCGUGCAGGCGGCCUGUUAAGUCUGAUGUGAAAGCCCGGGGCUCAACCCCGGAAGUGCAUUGGAUACUGGCAGGCUUGAGUACGGGAGAGGAAAGUGGAAUUCCGAGUGUAGGGGUGAAAUCCGUAGAUAUUCGGAGGAACACCAGUGGCGAAGGCGGCUUUCUGGACCGAUACUGACGCUGAGACGCGAAAGCGUGGGGAGCAAACAGGAUUAGGUACCCUGGUAGUCCACGCCGUAAACGAUGGGUACUAGGUGUCGCGGGUAUUGACCCCUGCGGUGCCGUAGCUAACGCAUUAAGUACCCCGCCUGGGGAGUACGG
rnacentral:rRNA from 1 species